GACACGUCGACCUCGAGCUUCAAUUUGGGAAAGAUCGUGCCGCCGGCCGGCUUCAUCCGCCGCCGCCGCGCUACCCGUCCCCAGCGCCUCUGUUCUCCGGGGGAGGAGCGCGAGCGGGCGGUGCGUCCUGGCCGUCUCGGUCUCGUCUUCCAAUGCUGGGCUCUCCCCAUUGAGGGACUUGGAGAAGAGUGGUGAUGGAGAUCCCGCUGGAAGAUAUACGGAGGCCGCUAAUGCGAACGCGUGCUAACGAUCCUGACACGGUGCAGGAGCUCACGGACAGCAUCCGUGUCAUCGGCCUCCAAGUACCUGUGGGCAUCUUUUCCUUUAACAUUAAUUUUACUUACCAAAAGUAUUUUUCUUUUAGCUCAUAAGAUAAAUAUUCUGUCAGAACUGGAAUUUUCUUAUGUGGAAUUGAGUACAUAUGAAUAAAGUUAUAUAGUAGCUAAUACGUGGCCCGACCACUGCUACUAAAUUCCGUGA